GGUAGGACUACCCGCUGAACUUAAGCAUAUCAAUAAGCGGAGGA
rnacentral:rRNA from 9 species